GGCCACAUCUGUGGCAUAUGGAAUUUCCCAGACUAGGGGUCAAAUCGGAGCUGUAGCCGCCAGCCUAUGCCACAGCCACAGCAACGCAGCCACAUCUGCAACCUACACCAUGGCUCACAGCAACGCCGGAUCCUCAACCCACCAAGUGAGGCCAGGGAUCAAACCCCCAUCCUCAUGGAUACUAGUAGGGUUCGUUACCGCUGAGCCACAAGAGGAACUUCCUCUUCUUUUUUCUGUAAGGGCAUUAAUUCCAUCAUGAUGGACCAACUCUCAUGACCGCCACCAACCCUAAUUACCUCCCAAAGAUUCCACUCAAAUACCAUCACAUUGGAGGUUAGGGCUUCAAUAUAUGAAGGGGGUGAGCACUGCACAAACUCAGUCCAUAGUAUAUGUACAGAUACACAAAUACAUAUGCAUACCUAUAUAGAGUCACACACACAUGCACAUAUCCACACACACACGUAUGCAACCACAUAUACAUACGCUGAUACUAACACAAGCAUCAUGUAUACAGACGAAAGACAUGCACAUUCACACAAACCCAUAACCCCCGCCACACACACACCCAUACAUACCCAAGCACAAACACAUACACAAAUGUGCACAUAAAUGUGCCUACAAACAUACAUACAUAAACAGGCAUACAGACUCAUGCAAAUAUAGUCUCACAGUUCCACACACAGAGAUACACUCAUACACAAACAUACUUCCUUACACGCACAUACACAGCCAUACACACAUUUCCACAAUGAGCAUACAAAUACUCAAACACACACACACACACACACACACCAUAUUCCAUUCCCCCUCUCCACCUUCCACUCUCUCUGUCUCUCUCUCUCUAACAUGCACACACAGAGAGGCUCAGCCUGUUGGCCAUCUUUUCUCUCCUUAAAGAAAAAUGGCAUUGCUGUCAAUGCUCAGGAUCUCCAGCGGGAUCACCCUACAGCUACUGCCACCUCCCCACCAUUCCCAACCAAACCAGUGUCUACCCCACCCUGGCUGCAGCACCUCACCAUCGUCUGCUGCCCACCAGGGAGAUACCUGGUCCAGCCAUGUUCAUGCCUGGCCACAUAUCAGAAUCACUCAGAGCUGUCCACCAAUAUUGAUCCUAGAACCCUACCCUAGAGUUUCUGAUUUAAUUGAUCAGAGGUGGGACCUGGGUAUCUGGUUGCUUGUUUUUUAAGUUCUACUGCCUUUUUGGUAUAAAUCCCCAUUGCCAGCUCCAUAACCUUAGGAAACUUAAGCUACUUAAACCCUCAGGAUUUACCUUCUCUAUCUCUAAAAUGGGAGAAACAGGUUCCCAUUGUGGCUCAGCGGAAAUGAACCCAACUAGUAUCCAUAAGGACAUGGGUUCAAUCCCUGCUCCUGCUCAGUGGGUUAAGAAUCAAGCAUUGCCAUGAGCUGGAGAUAUAAAUUCCAGAUGUUGCUCUGAUCCAGCUUUACAACAGCAGUGGUGUAGGCCAGCGGUUGCAGCUCCAGUUUGACCCCUAGCCUGGGAACUUCCAUAUGCCGUGUGGCUCUAAAAAGCAAAAAAAAAAAAAAAGAGAGAGAGAGAGAGAGAUGGCAACUAACACAGCCAAUGGCUUUCUGGCUUCACUACUUUGCUAAAAGCAGGACCUAGACAGCAAGAGGGAAGAAGGGGACAAGACCAGUAUUUCUGGCUGGCUACCUCCCAGGCCUGAGGCACUGUUAAGACACUGCUUGGUUGUUGUAGGAAAGAUGGUAGGGUACCAGGACACUGAGUUGGUUUGUCUCAGCUGUACCACAUUCUCACCAUGUGAUCUUAGUUUCUUAGCUUCUCUGAACUAAGAUGGGGAUCAUAUCUUCUUCACCAGGGUAUGGUGCAGUCUCAUGAGAUCAUACCUGGAGUGAGAUCACUUGGUACCUGGCGUACACUAAGAACUCAAUAAACCUUGACUAUUUUAAUCUUGUUAACCACCCAUAUUUCAAAGUUUUAUUAAAAAUCCAUAAUUCAGGCAAGGACUCCAGAUUAUGUCAAAGUAUCUUCUAUUUUGAAUGAACCAAAAUGGAGUCCAUGGGCUGGACUCUGCAGUCCGUACUGCCUGGCAGCACGGCACUUCCACCGUUAUCUGAUUAUGUUCCCCACAUACAGCCUUGAAGGAGGCAUAACCUCUGUUCCCAGAAAAUUUAGCUCCCCCUGGAGAAGAAAGAAAAAUUUGGAUGCAAACAUAAUAAAUGGAAAUAGACGAAAAAUGAAGAAAACAACUCACAACCAUUUGCAAGUAAGGAAAAUGAGAUUCAGGGAAGCAAAAUGAAAAUUUGCCCAAGGACACACAGCUUAUAAAGCCCAGAGCAGGGACUUGCGCUCAGGACCAUCUAGAUGUCAAACCUCAUGCUCUUUCCACUUUACAUAAGAGCUCAAAGGACUCCAUUUUUAGAGCAAAUAUAAACAGUGGUAGAUUGGGUGGGUGGUGGGUUCCUAGCUAGCACGGCCUAAGCUUCUCAGAGUGACUCAGACUUGAUCAAAAUAGAAAGCCAUACAGAAUGAAAGAAUAAAGAAAAUAAAAUGGGAAGUUUUAAAUGUCUCAUCCACAGACACAGCAAAAUACAUAAAACAACCCAGGAAUGGCCCUCACAGGAGAUAACACUAUGCAUUUUUACAGAGGGACUUACAAGACCUGAAUAAAUGGAGAGAGAUGCCAUAUUCCUACAUCUGAAGAGUGACUAUGAAGAAAAUGUCCAUUUUUCCAGCUUUAUAUAGAACUUUAACAAAUUCUAAUCAAAAUCCUAAGGGAGAUUUCUUUUGAACUUGGAAAGAUGAUUCUAAGUUUCAUUUGAAAGAAUGAAUAAAGUUUGGCAAGAAAACAUUGAAAAAAAGAAAUAUA
rnacentral:lncRNA from 1 species